rnacentral:rRNA from 1 species
ACGCCGAUGGCGAAGGCAGCCACCUGGUCCACCCGUGACGCUUU